rnacentral:rRNA from 1 species
GACGAACGCUGGCGGCGUGCCUAAUACAUGCAAGUAGAACGCUGAAGAGAGGAGCUUGCUCUUCUUGGAUGAGUUGCGAACGGGUGAGUAACGCGUAGGUAACCUGCCUUGUAGCGGGGGAUAACUAUUGGAAACGAUAGCUAAUACCGCAUAACAAUGGAUGACACAUGUCAUUUAUUUGAAAGGGGCAAUUGCUCCACUACAAGAUGGACCUGCGUUGUAUUAGCUAGUAGGUGAGGUAAUGGCUCACCUAGGCGACGAUACAUAGCCGACCUGGGAGGGGGAGCGGCCACACUGGGACUGAGACGCGGCCCCGACCCCUACGGGAGGCAGCAGUAGGGAAGCUUCGGCAAUGGGGGCAAACCUGAACGAGGAACGCCGCGGGAGUGAAGAAGGUUUUCGGAUCGUAAAGAUCUGUUGUAAGUCAAGAACGGGGGGGAGAGUGGAAAGUGCACACUGUGACGGUAGCUUAUCAGAAAGGGACGGCUAACUACGUG